GAUGAAGACGCAGCGAAAUGCGAUAAGUAAUGUGAAUUGCAGAAUUCAGUGAAUCAUCGAAUCUUUGAACGCACAUUGCGCCCUCUGGUAUUCCGGGGGGCAUGCCUGUUCGAGCGUCAUUAUAACCACUCAAGCUCUCGCUUGGUAUUGGGGUUCGCGGUUCCGCGGCCCCUAAAAUCAGUGGCGGUGCCUGUCGGCUCUACGCGUAGUAAUACUCCUCGCGUCUGGGUCCGGUAGGUCUACUUGCCAGCAACCCCCAAUUUUUACAGGUUGACCUCGGAUCAGGUAGGGAUACCCGCUGAACUUAAGCAUAUCAAUAAGCGGAGGA
rnacentral:misc_RNA from 1 species